rnacentral:tRNA from 1 species
GCCUGAGUGGCUCAGUUAGUUAAGCACCUGCCUUGGGCUCAGGUCAUGAUCCUGGGGUCUUGGGUUCAAGUCCCGCAUCGGGCU